rnacentral:rRNA from 1 species
CCUACGGGCGGCAGCAGUGAGGAAUAUUGGUCAAUGGGCGGGAGCCUGAACCAGCCAAGUCGCGUGAGGGAAGACGGUCCUAUGGAUUGUACACCUCUUUAGGCGGGGAGCAAUGCCGGGCACGCGUGCCCGGAUGGAGAGUACCCGCAGAAUAAGCAUCGGCUACCUCCGUGCCAGCAGCCGCGGUAAUACGGAGGAUGCGAUCGUUACUCGGAUUUAUUGGGUUUAAAGGGUGCGUAGGCGGAUUUUUAAGUCAGCGGGAAAAGGUCCGGGCUCAACCCGGGCCGGCCGUUGAAACUGGGGAGCUUGAGGGGGCGAGAAGUAUGCGGAAUGCGUGGUGUAGCGGUGAAAUGCAUAGAUAUCACGCAGAACUCCGAUUGCGAAGGCAGCAUACCGGCGCCCGACUGACGCUGAGGCACGAAAGCGUGGGGAUCGAACAGGAUUAGAUACCCGGGUAGUC